rnacentral:lncRNA from 1 species
UACCGAAGGACAAUCUUCUCUGAGAGGUAGCCUGUGCACCACAAUAUCUGUAUCCAAACCAAGCAUAUCUUGAUACGACCAUGCGAAUACGUCCACAUAUUCUUGCAGCAUUUCAAUUAGCCCUCUCUUGACCUUUUCCUCUAAAGCAGCCCCUAUCCUGAUCUCUUUCUUUGCAUCCUCAGUACCAAGGUUAAUGACUUCC